rnacentral:tRNA from 1 species
GUAUUGGUGGCUCAGUGGUAGAAUUCUCACCUUCCAGGCAAGAGGCCUAGGUUUGAUUUCCAGUCAAUACA